GCUGUAAUUGUGGCUCAGUGGCAGAGCGUUUACCUAGCACAGAUGAGGUACUGGGUUCAAUUCUCAGCACCGCA
rnacentral:tRNA from 1 species